GUUGCCGUUUGAAACUACGUUAACGUGUGGAGAUGAAUCAUAUUCCUAUGUAUACGAUUACCAAACGAAGAUUAGAAAAGCAGAGGAGGAAGAACAUUUCCACACUGUUUGUUUACAGAAAGUGAUUUGUCUUGAAUAAUUCCCAAAAGUAAAUUCAGGUUUACUGACGGGCAUUUUAUUGUUCAGACAUUCUUACAUUCAACCUAAUAAUACAAGGGCCAUAAUAAGGGGAAAACUAAGAGCAGACGUCCAUAAGAUUGGAUUGAGAUCGUUAAAGAUGCACCCAAACUAAGAUCCAAAGAUUCUUUUGCAAUAGCGUCCACAUAAUUUCAGCAUUUGCAACAUUUGAAAUCAUUUUGUAUGCAACAGGUUCAUAAAUUUGUUUGACAAAAUUGUGAAACUGAAAUUAAAAAUUCACAACCUAAUAUUCUAAUUUAUAUAACACAAUAACAAUGCAAAAAACACUAAUUAUAACAUGUUUACAUUGUAAUCAUGUAAUUAA